UCAUACAGUUUGGCUGCGACAAGGAUGAAAUCUGCAGAAGAAGAAGAAGAAGAGCACGACUCAUACCGGCAAGCCCUAAAGAGGAAAUCUGCAGAAGAAGAAGAAGAAGAGUACGACUCAUACCGACACGUAGUUUUAAAGCUUGACUAUGGCAAGGAGGAUGAACAAUGAUAUACAUAACUACAACAGAGCUCUGAAGAAGAAAAGGAUGACAAACAAGGAUGAUGAACAAGAAAAAUACUCAUACUUGGACCAAAAAGUCGUCCUGAGUGUUGACAUCUACCAUGCCAAAGGUCUCGAUGGCCCUAAUUAUAGUACAAUAUGUUGUACUAAUAGGGUCUAUCAACUUGUCUUACGGGUGGAACCUAGCAAAGAGUACGAGUUGAAUUUUGUCUAUGGUUGCCAAACCCUAAAUGGAAUCUACAAGUGAAUUUCCAGCUCAACAUCAGUCUUUUAGAAUGGGGAUCUCUACACGUGAAGAUCAUGAGGAAAGACGAGUCUGAGCUAGGAACCUCCAAUGGGAUAUCCAGUGUGAGCAGGACUAGAAUCCCGUUACCAAAGAUGAACCAGAAAAAGAAGGCAAGUUUGGACUGGUAAAGAGCGAAGGACAUGUACUGAAGGCUGAAGGACACUUUUUUUUUUGUUUAGGUCAAUGAAACUUGGUCAAUAUAUAAGCUUGGAUGAGUAAUCUAAUUAGUUAGAUAAUUCCCCAUUAAAUCCGAUGAGGGUGACUUACUUGUCUAGACGUACUCAUACAAUUUCGGGAACUUUAAC